rnacentral:misc_RNA from 1 species
UAGCCCAUCCAGCCCUGCUGGGUCUUGGGCCCGCCGGCCGGCGGGCCCCAAAGCCAGUGGCGGUGCCGCCUGGUGCCUAAGCGUAGUACAACCCUCGCUAUAGGCCCCAGGCGCGCGCCCGCCAGCAACCCCUUCUAC